rnacentral:tRNA from 1 species
GCCUUCGUGGUGUAACGGUAGCACGCUGGGCCCAUAUUCCAGAGGUCUGUGGUUCGAUUCCCGGCGAAGGCG